rnacentral:rRNA from 1 species
UACGUAGGGUGCAAGCGUUGUCCGGAAUUAUUGGGCGUAAAGAGCUCGUAGGCGGUUUGUCGCGUCUGCUGUGAAAACUCGGGGCUCAACUCCGAGCUUGCAGUCGAUACGGGCAGGCUAGAGUUCGGCAGGGGAGACUGGAAUUCCUGGUGUAGCGGUGAAAUGCGCAGAUAUCAGGAGGAACACCGGUGGUGUAGACGGCUCUCUGGACCAUAACUGACGCUGAGACACGAAAGCGUGGGUAGCAAACAGG